rnacentral:tRNA from 1 species
CUUUUAAAGAAAACGAGCCCUCC